CUCCUUAUUACUAUAAAUCUCCACCACCACCAUCUCCUUCUCCUCCACCACCUUAUUAUUACAAGUCUCCACCACCACCCUCGCCAUCCCCUCCACCCCCAUACUACUAUAAAUCACCUCCGCCACCGUCUCCAUCGCCUCCUCCACCUUACUAUUACAAGUCACCACCACCACCGUCCCCUUCCCCACCCCCGCCGUACUACUCCACGUCACCACCGCCCCCCUCCACUUUCCACCACCAACCACCAUAUUAUUACAAGUCUCCACCGCCACCUUCACCUUCUCCUCCGCCACCAUACUACUAUAAAUCCCCACCACCACCAUCUCCAUCUCCUCCACCACCGUACUACUACAAGUCCCCACCACCACCAUCUCCAUCUCCUCCACCCCCAUACUACUACAAGUCUCCACCUCCGCCAUCACCUUCUCCUCCUCCGUACUACUACAAGUCUCCACCUCCACCAUCACCAUCUCCUCCUCCUCCUUACUACUACAAAUCGCCUCCACCACCUUCUCCUUCCCCACCGCCACCAUACUACUAUAAAUCCCCUCCGCCUCCGUCUCCAUCUCCUCCACCACCAUACUACUAUAAAUCCCCUCCACCGCCGUCUCCAUCUCCUCCUCCUCCGUACCACUACAAGUCGCCGCCACCACCAUCACCAUCUCCACCACCACCAUACUACUAUAAAUCUCCACCACCACCCUCUCCUUCCCCACCACCGCCGUACUAUUACAAAUCCCCACCACCACCAUCACCAUCGCCACCACCACCAUAUUACUACAAAUCACCACCACCACCUUCCCCUUCCCCACCGCCUCCAUACUACUACAAAUCCCCACCACCACCAUCUCCAUCUCCACCACCCCCAUACUACUACAAAUCCCCACCACCUCCGGCUACCUAUUAAAAAGUACUACUCACACAUUAAUUUACACAUACAUGUAAGUACUAGCUUCAUCAUCUUCAUUCCAUUCAAUAAUAUAAGCCUUCAUCGUUAAACCCUCCCCCAACAAUUCAAAUUAUCAUAGGAUAAAAUGAUUAUUAAUAUAGUAACAAAUCCUUGGACAUACAAAAGGUCUAGGCUGAAUCAUAAUAGCCUUAAUUCAUUACAUAAAAAUCUAAAUUUAUCGAAAUUAUGCAAACUUCAUACUUUCAUCCUAACCUAUAUGACAUGUUUGGUCUUGCAG
rnacentral:lncRNA from 1 species